UACGGGGGGGGCAAGCGUUGUUCGGAAUUACUGGGCGUAAAGGGCUCGUAGGCGGCCAUCUAAGUCGGACGUGAAAUCCCUCAGCUUAACUGGGGAACUGCGUCUGAUACUGGAUGGCUUGGAUCCGGGAGAGGGAUGCGGAAUUCCAGGUGUAGCGGUGAAAUGCGUAGAUAUCUGGAGGAACACCGGUGGCGAAGGCGGCAUCCUGGACCGGUAUUGACGCUGAGGAGCGAAAGCCAGGGGAGCAAACGGG
rnacentral:rRNA from 1 species